AGCGAACGCUGGCGGCAGGCCUAACACAUGCAAGUCGAACGAACCUUUCGGGGUUAGUGGCGGACGGGUGAGUAACACGUGGGAACGUGCCUUUAGGUUCGGAAUAACUCAGGGAAACUUGUGGUAAUACCGAAUGUGCCCUUCGGGGGAAAGAUUAAUCGCCUUUAGAGCGGCCCGCGUCUGAUUAGCUAGUUGGUUGAGGUAAUGGCUCACCAAGGCGACGAUCAGUAGCUGGUCUGAGAGGAUGAUCAGCCACAUUGGGACUGAGACACGGCCCAAACUCCUACGGGAGGCAGCAGUGGGGAAUCUUGCGCAAUGGGCGAAAGCCUGACGCAGCCAUGCCGCGUGAAUGAUGAAGGUCUUAGGAUUGUAAAAUUCUUUCACCGGGGACGAUAAUGACGGUACCCGGAGAAGAAGCCCCGGCUAACUUCGUG
rnacentral:rRNA from 1 species